UGGGGAAUAUUGCACAAUGGGCGAAAGCCUGAUGCAGCGACGCCGCGUGAGGGAUGACGGCCUUCGGGUUGUAAACCUCUUUCAGCAGGGACGAAGCGCAAGUGACGGUACCUGCAGAAGAAGCACCGGCUAACUACGUGCCAGCAGCCGCGGUAAUACGUAGGGUGCAAGCGUUGUCCGGAAUUACUGGGCGUAAAGAGUUCGUAGGCGGUUUGUCGCGUCGUUUGUGAAAACCAGCAGCUCAACUGCUGGCUUGCAGGCGAUACGGGCAGACUUGAGUACUGCAGGGGAGACUGGAAUUCCUGGUGUAGCGGUGAAAUGCGCAGAUAUCAGGAGGAACACCGGUGGCGAAGGCGGGUCUCUGGGCAGUAACUGACGCUGAGGAACGAAAGCGUGGGUAGCGAACAGGAUUAGAUACCCUGGUAGUCCACGCCGUAAACGGUGGGCGCUAGGUGUGGUUCCUUCCACGGAAUCCGUGCCGUAGCUAACGCAUUAAGCGCCCCGCCUGGGGAGUACGGCCGCAAGGCUAAAACUCAAAUGAAUUGACGGGGUCAUAGCUGUUUCCU
rnacentral:rRNA from 1 species